rnacentral:rRNA from 1 species
UACGUAGGGUGCGAGCGUUAAUCGGAAUUACUGGGCGUAAAGCGUGCGCAGGCGGUCUCGUAAGACAGGUGUGAAAUCCCCGGGCUCAACCUGGGAACUGCGCUUGUGACUGCGAGGCUGGAGUGCGGAAGAGGGAGGUGGAAUUCCACGUGUAGCAGUGAAAUGCGUAGAGAUGUGGAGGAACACCGAUGGCGAAGGCAGCCUCCUGGUCCAGCACUGACGCUCAUGCACGAAAGCGUGGGGAGCAAACAGG